ensembl:lncRNA
AUUAUCCAGAGGUCCAGGAAGUUAUAAAAUAAGAAAUAACAAUCCUCAAGAAAUUUAAUUAUUUAAGUUGCUAUUUCAUAUAUUUACCAAGGGGAUACUUGCUCAUCCCAUGUAUUGAUAUAGUAGAACAUUAAUAGGCAGUAGUGUUGGAGAAGACUCUCGAGAGUCCCUUGGAUUGCAAGGAGAUCCAACUAGUCCAUCCUAAAGAUCAGUCCUGGGUGAUCAUUGGAAGGACUGAUGUUGAAGCUGAAAGUCCAAUACUUUGGCCACCUGAUGCUAAGAACUGACUCAUCUGAAAAGACCCUGAUGCUGGGAAAGAUUGAGAUCAGGAGGAGAAGGGGAUGACAGAGGAUGAGAUGGUUGGAUGGCAUCACCAACUCAAUGGACAUGGGUUUGGGUGGACUCCGGGAGUUGGUGAUGGACAGGGAGACCUGGUGUGCUGCAGGUACUACAUAAGGUGUUCACUAUUUCAGAUUAGCUUAAACAAUAAAGUCAAUAAAAGCUAAAAAGGAACCCUUGUGCUCCUUGGAGUUCUGAAAAUGUUAAGCAUAUAUAGCUAAGGAUGCUAAUUUAAAGUCUUUACAGUCAAGUAACCAUACUGAGGCUGUUCAUCUGAAGUAGGAAGGUGGUGGUGGCUUAGUUGCUAGGUUGGGUCCGACUCCUCCAGGCUCCUCUGUCCAUGGGAUUUCCCAGGCAAGAAUACUGGAACAGGUUGCCAUUUCCUUCUCCAGGCAUGAGAAGUAGUAUAUUUAAAUAUUCAUGCCUAGGACUUUACAGACAUAUAGGACUUACCAAAAAUUUAUGGACAGAAUCUGCUUUGGAUUGUUUUUUCCUUCCAGUUGUAUUGAGAAAUAUUUGACAUAUAGCAUAAGUAUGUGUAAGUUUUGCAUGUAUAGCAUAAUUUGCUUACAUCACAAAAUGAUUAUCACAAUAAUUUUAUUGAAUACCUGUCAUCUUAUAUAGAUACAAAAUUAAAGGAAUAAAAAUAUUUUUCCUUCUGAUGAGGAAUCUUAGAAUUUAUUCUCUUAACCACUUUCAUGGGCUUCCCUGGUGGCUCAGAUGGUAAAGAAUCUGCCUGCAAUGUAGGAGACACAGGUUCAAUUCCUAGGUCGGGAAGAUCCCCUGGAGAAGAAAACAGCAAUCCAGUCCAGUACUCUUGCCUGGAGAAUUCCAUGGGCAGAGGAAUCUGGUGGGCUACAGUCUAUAGGGUGGCCAAAAGUCAGACACUUUCACUUUCAACCACUUUCAUACACUUCAUACAGCAUUAAUUAUUAAUAUCACAUUGUAUAUUACAUUCAUAGUAGUUAUAAAUGGAAGCUUGUACCUUUUGACCAUCUGCAUCCAAUUUCCCCAGCCCAGCUUUGCCAAAGACAAAUCUGAUCUCUUUUUCUAUGAAUGUGUUUGUUUCUGAAGUCUAAUUAACCUACAACACUAUGUUAGUGUCUGUUAGAAAAUAGUGAUUAGAUAUUUCUAUAUAUUUCAAAAUGAUCACCACAGUAAGAUAAAUCUUAUUAUGUCACCAAAGUUACAUAGUUUUUGACUACCUUCCCCACACUGCACAUCUUAUAUCCAUGACUCACUAAUUUUGCCACUGGAAAUUUGUACAUCUUAAUCUCCUCACCUACUGUUUCCUCUCUCAAGCCCUAUCCCUGGAGCAAACACCUGCUUGAUCUCCUUAUCUAUAACUCUGUCUCUAUUUUGCUAUGUUUGUUUUUUUCUUUAUAUUACACAUAUAAGUGAAAUCAUGGAGAAUUUUUCUUAUUUGUAUUUUCUUAUUUGUCUGACUAGUUUCACUUAGCAUAUUGCUUAGUUAUAAAAAAAAGAAUGAAAUCUUUCCAUUUGUGACAAUAUGGAUGGACCUCGGGUUAUUUUUUUAAAGUUUCUAAGUAAGUACUUCACAAUGCUAGUUGAGAACUAGUACAGUGGACAACAGUCUUAGUCUCGAUCAUCCAGCAAAUUCUCUUCAUCACUGAGG